rnacentral:rRNA from 1 species
UACGGGGGGGGCAAGCGUUGUUCGGAAUUACUGGGCGUAAAGGGCUCGUAGGCGGCCAACUAAGUCAUACGUGAAAUCCCUCGGCUUAACCGGGGAACUGCGUCUGAUACUGGAUGGCUUGAGUUCGGGAGAGGGAUGCGGAAUUCCAGGUGUAGCGGUGAAAUGCGUAGAUAUCUGGAGGAACACCGGUGGCGAAGGCGGCAUCCUGGACCGACACUGACGCUGAGGAGCGAAAGCCAGGGGAGCAAACGGGG